CCGCAACGAAAAUACGCCGCUCCAACGGGCGCACGAAAGCUCGAUCCGUCGCUCCCAACGCGUUCGCAAGCAUCUUCUCCACCAACGCCGCGAAUUUGAGCGAGAGAUAUGGAGAGAUGAGAGAGAAAUCUAGAGAGAGGAAUGAAGGUUUCUCUCACUAGCACCAUGCGUGCGUGAGUGUGUGCUCGGGCUGAAGGAGAGGAAGAAGAAGCAUCAGCUUCUUUAUAAUGCACCCCAAGACACUAUUCACUCCAGGCAGUUUUAGCAGUUCGGAACAGUUGGAGCCCUUCCGGAUGUCUGUUUUCGCUCAAAUUUGACAAGCGGGCUCAGUUUAACGUACUGAAUAAGAAUAUAUCUUAAGUUUUCAGUUUCGACCCCAUUUGGUCAUCGAAAACUGUACUGAACUGUAAUCUUUAUCAGAUAGCUGUCGGAUUUUAUUUCUCACUCUACGGGUGUCAGAAAAUAUGAAACUUUAAAUCUAGCCUCAUAAAAAUAUUUCUGACUUAUCCUCCAAUUUUCAUAAUUUUCUGAGACUGUGUAUUUUCUGCUAAUUUAUCUGUCCCGUUUCCAACAGAAAAUUCUAGAUAUUCUAUUUUCAUUCUGAUUUCAGUACAAGUCAGUUCUGACUUAUGUUUUACUUCUAUAAAUCCAAUAAAAAUAGUUCCUCACACUAUUUUUAUUUAUUUUUAUUUUUAUACCAAAAUCUGGUAUGUUACAUCCUCUC
rnacentral:lncRNA from 1 species